rnacentral:rRNA from 1 species
UACGUAGGGUGCGAGCGUUGUCCGGAAUUAUUGGGCGUAAAGAGCUCGUAGGCGGUGUGUCACGUCGUUCGUGAAAACCUGCAGCUUAACUGUGGGCGUGCGGUCGAUACGGGCAUCACUGGAGUUCGGCAGGGGAGACUGGAAUUCCUGGUGUAGCGGUGAAAUGCGCAGAUAUCAGGAGGAACACCGGUGGCGAAGGCGGGUCUCUGGACAGUUCCUGACGCUGAGGCGCGAAGGCCAGGGGAGCAAACGGG